rnacentral:rRNA from 1 species
UACAGAGGGUGCAAGCGUUAAUCGGAAUUACUGGGCGUAAAGCGUGCGUAGACGGUUGCGUAAGUCAGAUGUGAAAGCCCCGGGCUCAACCUGGGAAUUGCAUUUGAGACUGCGUAGCUAGGGUGCGGAAGAGGGAAGCGGAAUUUCCGGUGUAGCGGUGAAAUGCGCAGAUAUCAGGAGGAACACCUAUUGCGAAGGCAGCUCGCUGGGACGUAACUGACGCUGAGACGCGAAAGCGUGGGGAGCAAACAGG